UAGCAGAGGAUGGCCUUAUCUGGCAUAG
rnacentral:piRNA from 1 species